rnacentral:rRNA from 1 species
GUCCACGCCGUAAACGAUGUCAACUAGCCGUUGGGACCUUCGUGUCCUUGGUGGCGUAGCUAACGCGCUAAGUUGACCGCCUGGGGAGUACGGUCGCAAGAUUAAACUCAAAUGAAUUGACGGGGCCCGCACAAGCGGUGGAGCAUGUGGUUUAAUUCGACGCAACGCGAAGAACCUUACCAGGUCUUGACAUCCAGAGAAGUCGCUAGAGAUAGCUUCGUGCCUUCGGGAACUCUGAGACAGGUGCUGCAUGGCUGUCGU